AGUGAACGCUGGCGGUAUGCCUAACACAUGCAAGUCGAACGGCAGCACAGUAAGAGCUUGCUCUUACGGUUGGCGAGUGGCGUACGUGUGAGUAAUACAUCGGAAUCUACUUUUUCGUGGGGGAUAACGUAGGGAACCUUACGCUAAUACCUCAUACCACCUACGGGUGAAAGCACAGGAGCUUCGUACCUUACGCGAUUGAAUGAGCCGAUGUCGGAUUAGCUAGUUGGCGGGGUAAAGGCCCUCCAAGGCGACGAUCCGUAGCUGGUUUGAGAGGAUGAUACGCCACACUGGAACUGAGACACGGUCCAGACUCCUACGGGAGGAAGCAGUGGGGAAUACUGGACAAUGGGCGCAAGCCUGAUCAAGACAUAACGCGUGGGUGAAGAAGGCCUUCGGGUUGUAAAGCCCUUUUGUUGGGAAAGAAAAGCAGCAGGUUAAUAUCCCGCUGUUCUGACGGUACCCAAAGAAUAAGCACCGGCUAACUUCGUG
rnacentral:rRNA from 1 species